UUCUAUCCAAGAGUGUAUGUACAGAGGGUGGCCUUAAACCUAUCACUGCCUGUGUGGACACCGAGAGGAGCCUCUGGUGCUGGCGAGGGCGUACACAAGCCUCCUGUGACUUGAGAACUUGGCCUCUCCUCUCACAAUGGCUCUCAGACCAGUGAGACUCUGGGAUGGGAAGAGAGCCCAUCCCUGAUCCACUGGUUAUUGUCAUGACUGGGUAUACUCUUUGCCAGGGGCUAGGACUCCAUUUCCUUAAGGCCCUCAGCUAGGGUCACAGUGCGCUGACCCACCGCUCUC
rnacentral:lncRNA from 1 species